rnacentral:lncRNA from 1 species
GGGAUGCAGCGCGCGCCUGAGCUUCACGCCUGCUUCGGCUUCAGGAGUUUUUAAAGUCAAAUUGAACUUUCUGUGAAGCCGCUGCACCUUAAUUCUGUCACCUGCGUGCCCUCCAUAACUACCUCCCUGAAGGGGCGUGAAGCUUCCUUCUGACUGGAUGCCAAGGACGCACCUGUUUGUCGUGUCCAAGACCACUUACUGAACUUGGGCUGGCUUUGUGCCCACGCAUGAUGCUGCACGAGACCACACGCAAGGCUCCGGGAGAUGGUACUGAGAAGACCCUCAAUCCCACCUCAUUGAAGCAGAAUCCUAACGAGCAGGCAUUGACUCCAAAUAACUGCCACGGGCUUUCUAAGAAACUGCUCCUGCUUGAGUGAGUUUUGAGAAAAAUAAUGAAUGCAAAUUUUACUAUUAUAUCAAAACAUCUCUUAAUAAAGUUCAUUAAGAUGGGAAGGCAA